GACGAACGCUGGCGGCGUGCCUAAUACAUGCAAGUCGAGCGAAUCAAUGGGAGCCUGCUCCCGGAGAUUAGCGGCGGACGGGUGAGUAACACGUGGGUAACCUGCCUGUAAGACUGGGAUAACUUCGGGAAACCGGAGCUAAUACCAGAUACUUUCUUCUCUCGCAUGAGAGAAGAUGGAAAGAUGGUUUCGGCUAUCACUUACAGAUGGACCCGCGGCGCAUUAGCUAGUUGGUGAGGUAACGGCUCACCAAGGCGACGAUGCGUAGCCGACCUGAGAGGGGGAACGGCCACACCGGGACUGAGACACGGCCCAGACUCCUACGGGAGGCAGCAGUAGGGAAUCUUCCGCAAUGGACGAAAGUCUGACGGAGCAACGCCGCGUGAGCGAAGAAGGCCUUCGGGUCGUAAAGCUCUGUUGUUAGGGAAGAACAAGUACGAGAGUAACUGCUCGUACCUUGACGGUACCUAACCAGAAAGCCACGGCUAACUACGUGCCAGCAGCCGCCGUAAGAC
rnacentral:rRNA from 1 species